rnacentral:rRNA from 1 species
UGGCGAACGGGUGAGUAACGCGUGAGGAACCUGCCUCAAAGAGGGGGACAACAGUUGGAAACGACUGCUAAUACCGCAUAAGCCCACGGGUCGGCAUCGACCUGAGGGAAAAGGAGCAAUCCGCUUUGAGAUGGCCUCGCGUCCGAUUAGCUAGUUGGUGAGGUAACGGCCCACCAAGGCGACGAUCAGUAGCCGGCCUGAGAGGGUGAACGGCCACAUUGGGACUGAGACACGGCCCAA